UACGGGGGGGGCAAGCGGUUGUUCGGAAUUACUGGGCGUAAAGGGUUUGUAGGUGGCCCGCUAAGUCACACGUGAAAUCCCUCAGCUUAACUGGGGAACUGCGUGUGAGACUGGCAGGCUCGAGGGCAGGAGAGGAACGCGGAAUUCCAGGUGUAGCGGUGAAAUUCGUAGAUAUCGGGAGGAACACCGGUGGCGAAGGCGGCGACCUGGGUAGAUACUGACGCUGAGGUGCGAAAGCGUGGGGAGCAAACAGG
rnacentral:rRNA from 1 species